ACCAGUUCCUGAACAAUACUUUUUUCAAUACCAAUUUUAUAAGAUCAGUUCUAACAAAAAGAAAAUUACAUUACACAUAGUACAAAUCUUGAGUUUUAUUUUUCAGCUUUGGUUUUUCACAGCAGAU